CCUACCCAGAAAAGGGGUGAUCUAUGAUGUUAAUUCUGUCCAACCAUAUCAAUCAUUUUAAUAAUUCACAAAGGAUUAAGUAGAAUAAGAUAGUCUUUAUUAUUUGUAUUAAGAUUUUUUUUAUUCAAUAUUAUUGUUAUUUAUAAAAUAGUGCAAAAUUAAUAUGAUUUUAUUUUAGUAAUAAAAAUAAUUUAGAUGUCAAC
rnacentral:lncRNA from 1 species